rnacentral:lncRNA from 1 species
ACAUAUAUGAUAUAUAGUUCACCACACAUAUACUUGCCAACACAUAUAUAUAAUUCACCACACAUAUAUGAUUCACCCAUGUAUAUCCCCAUAUAUCCAAAGAACCAACAUACCAAGUAUUGCACUGUUUAUCCAUAUAUACAUAUACAUAUAGUUCGACAUUGUUCAUCGACCCAAAUGAAAACUAGAUGAUAUACAUAUAAAGUUCAUCCAUCGACAUUGUUCAACUCCAUGAAUGCCAGCUUCCAUGCAUGUAGUAUAUCCAAUCUGCAAAAAUGUGAAUAAGAAAGUUAGAAGAAGAACAAAAU